CCUCUGACGUUAGCGGCGGACGGGUGAGUAACACGUGGGUAACCUACCUAUAAGACUGGGAUAACUCCGGGAAACCGGGGCUAAUACCGGAUAACACAUGAAACCGCAUGGUUUCAUGAUGAAAGACGGUUUUGCUGUCACUUAUAGAUGGACCCGCGGCGUAUUAGCUAGUUGGUAAGGUAACGGCUUACCAAGGCAACGAUACGUAGCCGACCUGAGAGGGUGAUCGGCCACACUGGAACUGAGACACGGUCCAGACUCCUACGGGAGGCAGCAGUU
rnacentral:rRNA from 1 species